rnacentral:rRNA from 1 species
UACGAAGGGGACUAGCGUUGUUCGGAAUUACUGGGCGUAAAGCGCACGUAGGCGGCGCCGUAAGUCAGGGGUGAAAUCCCGGAGCUCAACUCCGGAACUGCCCUUGAAACUGCAGUGCUAGAAUCUUGGAGAGGCGAGUGGAAUUCCGAGUGUAGAGGUGAAAUUCGUAGAUAUUCGGAAGAACACCAGUGGCGAAGGCGACUCGCUGGACAAGUAUUGACGCUGAGGUGCGAAAGCGUGGGGAGCAAACAGG